CACGUAGGCGGUCUUUUUAAGUCGGGGGUGAAAUCCUGGAGCUCAACUCCAGAACUGCCUUCGAUACUGAGAAGCUCGAGUCCGGGAGGGGUGAGUGGAACUGCGAGUGUAGAGGUGAAAUUCGUAGAUAUUCGCAAGAACACCAGUGGCGAAGGCGGCUCACUGGCCCGGUACUGACGCUGAGGUGCGAAAGCGUGGGGAAGCAAACAG
rnacentral:rRNA from 1 species